rnacentral:rRNA from 1 species
GGUGAGUAACACGUGGGUAACCUGCCUGUAAGACUGGGAUAACUCCGGGAAACCGGGGCUAAUACUGGAUGGUUGUUUGAACCGCAUGGUUCAAACAUAAAAGGUGGCUUCGGCUACCACUUACAGAUGGACCCGCGGCGCAUUAGCUAGUUGGUGAGGUAACGGCUCACCAAGGCGACGAUGCGUAGCCGACCUGAGAGGGUGAUCGGCCACACUGGGACUGAGACACGGCCCAGACUCCUACGGGAGGCAGCAGUAGGGAAUCUUCCGCAAUGGACGAAAGUCUGGCGGAGCAACGCCGCGUGAGUGAUGAAGGUUUUCGGAUCGUAAAGCUCUGUUGUUAGGGAAGAACAAGUACCGUUCGAAUAGGGCGGUACCUUGACGGUACCUAACCAGAAAGCCACGGCUAACUACGUGCCAGCAGCCGCGGUAAUACGUAGGUGGCAAGCGUUGUCCGGAAUUAUUGGGCGUAAAGGGCUCGCAGGCGGUUUCUUAAGUCUGAUGUGAAAGCCCCCGGCUCAAUCGGGGAGGGUCAUUGGAAACUGGGGAACUUGAGUGCANAAGAGGAGAGUGGAAUUCCACGUGUAGCGGUGAAAUGCGUANNGAUGUGGAGGAACACCAGUGGCGAANGCGACUCUCUGGUCUGUAACUGACGCUGAGGAGCGAAAGCGUGNGGAGCGAACAGGAUUANAUACCCUGGUAGUCCACGCC